rnacentral:rRNA from 1 species
GAUGAACGCUGGCGGCGUGCCUAAUACAUGCAAGUCGAGCGAACAGAUGAGGAGCUUGCUCCGCUGACGUUAGCGGCGGACGGGUGAGUAACACGUGGAUAACCUACCUAUAAGCCUGGGAUAACUUCGGGAAACCGGAGCUAAUACCGGAUAAUAUAUUGAACCGCAUGGUUCAAUAGUGAAAGACGGUUUUGCUGUCACUUAUAGAUGGAUCCGCGCCGCAUUAGCUAGUUGGUAAGGUAACGGCUUACCAAGGCAACGAUGCGUAGCCGACCUGAGAGGGUGGUCGGCCACACUGGAACUGAGACACGGUCCAGACUCCUACGGGAGGCAGCAGUAGGGAAUCUUCCGCAAUGGGCGAAAGCCUGACGGAGCAACGCCGCGUGAGUGAUGAAGGUCUUCGGAUCGUAAAACUCUGUUAUUAGGGAAGAACAAAUGUGUAAGUAACUAUGCACGUCUUGACGGUACCUAAUCAGAAAGCCACGGCUAACUACGUG